CUACUUUUUCACUCGGAGUGGCUCCACCGCGCGCGCGCGCGCUCAAGAUCGCGGAACAACACAGCACCGGAGAAAGUAGAUCCAUCCAGCGAGCAAAGGCCAGCCGAGGGAGAUCGUGUGGCAGCCAUCUCGCGUCGCCACGAAAACACGACAGUCGUUCGUCAUGCCUUGGAUAUAACAACAAAUCCUCCACGGCACCCGCUUUAUAUAACGCAAGAAGGCAGCUGCAAGGACACGAGGAUGUGAAAGAGCCAGUGCAGCGCGACUUCACGUAGUGUAGAGGAGCCAAUGCCAAAAAAUCAAAAUACAUUGGCAUGUUAUUUGGACAAGAAAACUAGUAUGUGGGUAUAUUGGGUGUACCAUUUGACCAAAUGUCAACAAAAUCAAGAUACAGUAUGUUACACGAAGAUGAAAAUUCUCACGUGCUCCAGGCAGUCAUCUUAACAUGGUAUAUUUAUGUAAUGUCUCUAAAUGGAAAGUCAAAUCAAGUAUGCUCACUGGAGACAAACACAUAGCAGCAAGUGUCAUUGAAAAGUUAAAAAUGUGUUUUAAGAAAGCUGAUUAGUUCUGAGAAGUGACUGCUUUUUGUCUUGCCUCUCAACACAUAUAUCCAUGUGAUAAAAAAAUAGUGGUACAAUGAAAUUGCAUAUUUGCUUAGCGACAUGAUACAUACUUGCAAUGAGCACGGUGCCUGUGUUUACUAUAGAAAGCAACAGCCCAUGCUUGGUUAGGUUAGGCCCACUACAACAUGCAGGCAUGGGUGAUUGGCACUUUUUUUAUUUCUGUAUCGUGAGGUUUAUUGACAUGCGUAUAGGUGCAGUGGCACGCAGUAUGGCUAGUACAAAAAGGGGGGGGGGGGCAGAUAUAUGUAGCUCACUGUACACGACACAGGGCAAAGGAAAUCCGUGUUCAGCAACUAUGUUAAAUGCCAUGUACGUAAAUUUUACAAUGCUACUCGUUCGAAGCGCGCACAGGUGCAUAUUGAAGAAAAGUUUCCAGGGUAGAUAAUUUAGUUCGUAAUUUACACUAAUUUUGCUCUAACCACGAGACAUAAUAAUUUGAAUAUACUGCACGGAAAAACCUAGAGCGAAUUAAAUUGUGUGUCAGCUUCGUGUGUAUACAUAUAGUCUUCCCUAUGCAUUACGUUUUUUGCGUAAUGCAUUAACAGUUGACAGCCUAUCUUAUGAUGUGUAUGUUUACAUUACAGUUGUUUAUUAGUUUACUCGUUUGUUUUGCGACUGAUGAAAUGCCGGCAUAUAUAUAUUUUCAACAUCUGACAUAACCCUGUAUGUUUUGCAGGGACAACCCAGGACGUGCAUUUCUCAGCACCCAGUCAACUGCCAAAAGUGACUCAAACACAGGCCACCAGAGACAAUGCCUACGAAAUUAUUGGCCCUGAUCAUGAGAGCCCUCAAGGGGCAAACAACAUCUCUGUUGCAGAAGUGAGCCUGGUACCACUUGGAAGUUACCAUGACAGAUGACACGGCAGCAAUAGAUACAGAGACUGCCACGUCUACUGCAGCUGCAACAGUGUACGAGGCAAGCAGCAGCGCGUCAGCAGCAGUGUCAGAAGGAACCACACCAGGCCUGGUAGAGCAACAUGUGUGCUAUCACUGACUUUUUUUGUAGUGGAUACAACUCAUUUGCUCAACAUACAAAAGCUUUUCACCACGACUGUGAGCCAGUGUUAUUGUGCAGCAAGUGCAAGACUAAGUUAAGUGUUAUAACACAGUACAAGCAUCACUUUAACAUAUGAAAACAUAUUACAGUUGUUGCCUCCCCAGCCAGCCCACAUAGCCACAACAAUGUUGAACACAUGGUGGGACACACAUCUUCUCCAUUAGAAGAUAGUAGAGACUGUCAGUGUUGUUGUUAGAUUAACUGGUCUUUGUAGGAAACUAGGACAACACAGGUGUCAUAAGAUUGUUGUUGAUGUUGUUGUUGAAGAGGUAAAAAAGAAGUUUGAUGCAGCUGAAGUGCCAACUGAUAUUGAGCAAAUCAAAAGCAACCACCUGAGAAAGCAACACUAUCGAAAUUUGGGUAUCUAUGUGCCGCCAACUCUGGUAAGAAUGGCAUAGGACAGAAGUGUGAUGAAAAUCACACAGACACUGCUGUUGCAUCACUGACCACAGUGAGCAGCGACUUGUAGGGCAAGAGAGUCAACUGAAACUAACAUUAUGAUAUAGUGUCAUGCUCCCAUGUGACCACUUUUCAAGUUAUUUUGCAAGAUACAGCUCAACCUCCAGAAACGAGACUGCAACUUGUCUGUAAAAAAGCUUUCACAAAAAAUUAUUCAUAACACUAUUAACAUAGCAGUAUAUUUUUUUUUGUGUCGGUUCGAGGUUCCCGGCUGUCCAUUAAUGCAAAAAUUGAGGAAAAAAAGAACAUGUGUCGUACUUACACCUUUUUAACAAGUACGAGGGGGACAGAACUUUUCUAGUCAUGCAUCUUCAUCAUACUAUUCAAGUUUUUAAAUGCCUUUUAUAAUUAUUAUUACCAGUUAUAUCUGAGUGCAUUCUAUGCAUGUAGCAGGUGUAAAAUCAGGUCAGUUGGAUCAGAUGCCUUAUCUGCAAGCGAGCCCUAUAUUCAAGAAAUUUGAAAUAAAAUAGUUACGUUAGAGACGCAGUCUUUCAGCACUUUAUUGCCUGUGGUUUAAGCAUUGCUCAAUACUUUUGUGGGUGGCAAUUUCAACCGGCACAGCACUGCGCUUUGCCACAGUCACAUUUGUCUUCAAAGCGGUGUUUACCAUUUGUGUUGAUCUGUUUGUGUAUGCAUAGAGCAAGUUUUUAAUUUAUAUUUUUCUGCAUUCUUGUGCUUGCAUUAAGCUUGUAUAAGGCAGUUACAAAAUGUGCGGCACUAUAACGAACUGUUCUGUUGAGCUUACACUUGCAAAUAAUCGUGUUCAGAUGGCCGCACUUCUAUGCGGGUGCACCGCUAGCUUUGUGUAUGUUCUCAUGUUUGUAUAAAGCUUAUAUAAGCUAGUUAGAAAAUGUAUGUCACUAAGCAUUGUGAUAUUCUUUAAAGAACUGCUUGGUUGGUUUUACACUUGUGAAUUAGUAUUGAGGCGGUGGUAUUCCCAUGUAUGCCCACUGCUAGCUUUCUGUGUCCUCACGUGUUUGUAUUAAGUUUCUACAAGGGAGUUAGAGCAUGUACGUCACUAAGCGCUGUGAUAUUUUUUAAAGAACUGCUUUGUUGGUUUUACACCUGUGAGUAAUAGUACUCGUGUGGCACUAGUCAUGUGUAGGUACACAGGGACCAUUUGUAUACAUUAUGCUCAUGUAAAGCAGUUACAAGGUGUAUGUCACUAAUUACUGUGAUAUUUGUUGAAUUGCUGUGAUGGUUUUACACCUGUGAAUAAUAGUGGUCAGGACACAGUACUUGCGGUGUAUAGUUGAAUUUAUACACUGCCAAGACAUGGGCUGUAUACGUACCAAAAGAAAUGUAUGUCAUUAUAUUGUUGUGAUUAUUACUGUUUGGAUUUCAUUAAACUGUAAUAAAAUUGUUUCUUGUA